ACGGAAGGCAGCAGUGGGGAAUCUUGCACAAUGGGCGCAAGCCUGAUGCAGCGACGCCGCGUGGGGGACGAAGGCCCUCGGGUUGUAAACCCCUUUCGGCAGGGAAGAAGCGCAAGUGACGGUACCUGCAGAAGAAGCUCCGGCUAACUACGUGCCAGCAGCCGCGGUAAGACGUAGGGAGCGAGCGUUGUCCGGAUUCAUUGGGCGUAAAGCGCGCGUAGGCGGUUUGGUAAGUCGGAUGUGAAAUCCCGAGGCUCAACCUCGGGACUGCAUCCGAUACUGCCCGACUAGAGGUAGGUAGGGGAGAUCGGAAUUCCUGGUGUAGCGGUGAAAUGCGCAGAUAUCAGGAGGAACACCGGUGGCGAAGGCGGAUCUCUGGGCCUUACCUGACGCUGAGGCGCGAAAGCUAGGGGAGCAAACAGGAUUAGAUACCCUGGUA
rnacentral:rRNA from 1 species